rnacentral:rRNA from 1 species
GUCUCUGGCCACCCCACCCUGAUGUGCCUGAUCGCAUCUGAUCCUGGACGCUAAGGGGGCCUGGCCUGGUUAGUACUGGGGUGGGGAGACGCGGGGGGGGGGACU